ACUGUACACCAGUAUGCCAUAGAUGGGCUUGGUUGCUGGGCAUGCGCGUUCGCGCUGGCACGCUAGUCUUGCUGCUACACACCAGUAGUAAGGCUCAAGGAACAGCGUGCAGAUGCACAAGACCUGGUCCUGAAUGCUUCAAUAGGGACACAAAAGAGCAUGUAGCAGCCUCCAGAGGAAGAGGAGAGUAUAUUUGUUUCUUAUUAGAAUACCUGUAUUAUUGUUAACACUAGCACAAAUCAAUAAGGUUGCAGUUCAAGUGUACAAGCUUGCUGGUUUGCAGUUUACAGCCGUGAAGGAGAAGCAGGUCACGGGAGAUUACAGCAAUCCUUCCCAGCCGUGACGCACCGGCAAAUCCGAGGAGAGUCCGUCAUGUCCAAUCAGACAAGCCCUCUCAUCCCAGCUCGGAGCCACGGAACAACUGUACAAUAUGUGUUAAUUACCGUGGCAGCGGUUAUAAUCGUGGGAAUCACAGGAUUGCUGGCAAUAUAUUUCAGGAGAAAGAAAAGGUUAGAUCAACUACGACACCAGCUGGUCCCUGUCUACACCUACGAUCACAGCGAGGUUUAUUGGGACGCAGAAGAUAGCAUGGAUGAGGAGCAGGAGUUAAAGGAACUGCUCACUACUGAUGCACACACAUUUCAUGGGCAGCUCUCGCUGAGAAACAGCCUCAGCACAUAAUGUUGGGACCUGCUACCAAAUCUAGUGUGACGAAAACAACAACGAACAAUGGAGAUUAUGAGGGGUGUGCAGGACCUGGGAAUGGGAGGGGCCACAUAUUAAAUGGGCGUGGUUAUAUGGAAAUGGGCUGUUAAAGAUGCCAGCAAACUGAAACAAAUUAUUUUUAAAAGGUAAUGCUCUGUGAGUGGGACCCUGUACAUCAAAAAGCAGCCAAAGAACAAAGUCAGUAUAGGUGCCAGGUUAUUUUGCAGCAAUCGUACCAGUUAAACAAAGCUUACUGUGUACUGUAUAUUUUAUAUCAAGGUCAUUUCAUGGGUGUUCUGUUGAGGACUGAGCCUGCUGGCCAGUUGUACUGCUGCUACACAAUAAACCAGGUUUCAUUACGUAUAGGUUGCCUUCUCUCUCAAUGUAUGAUUCCUGAAGGAUUUGUUUUCACUGGGGAUUACGCAGGUGAACAUGUCUGUUUUAGUUCUGAAUACAGCUGUUUUAUUGCAUCACUGUGUUCCCCGUGGCUUGUUCUGUGCCAGCACCAAACUGCAUAACUCUACAUCGGCUGGAUAAGUCAAGCUCCUCUAUGCCAGCUCUGCACUAGAAACCCUAGACAGGCAACCCAACGUUUUUCUCAAGUCGCUGUUCAUUCCUAAUUACUGCUUACACGUUCUAGGGAGAAAAGUAAUGUCAAUAUAAAAAAGGAGACGCCUUGCUACAGAUAGUAAUUGGUAGAGUAUUGUGAAGAUGCUGAGUUGAAUGUUAAUACUGUCGGGUUUCCAGUAAGCUGCUGAGGCGGUUCCACUUGGCAAGGAUAUGCAACACAGCGGAAUAUUCAACACAGCGAAAACAUGAGUGCUGCUAUAAACAAACACGACAGCACUGGAACACACUGUGCAUCACCAACCAGAAUAUGCAACACAGCGGAAACAUGAGUGCUGCUAUAAACAAACACGACAGCACUGCAACACACUGUGCAUCACCAACCAGAAUAUGCAACACAGCGGAAACAUGAGUGCUGCUAUAAACAAACACGACAGCACUGCAACACACUGUGCAUCACCAACCAGAAUAUGCAACACAGCGGAAACAUGAGUGCUGCUAUAAACAAACACGACAGCACUGGAACACACUGUGCAUCACCAACCAGAAUAUGCAACACAGCAGAAACAUGAGUGCUGCUAUAAACAAACACGACAGCACUGGAACACACUGUGCAUCACCAACCAGAAUAUGCAACACAGCAGAAACAUGAGUGCUGCUAUAAACAAACACGACAGCACUGGAACACACUGUGCAUCACCAACCAGAAUAUGCAACACAGCAGAAACAUGAGUGCUGCUAUAAACAAACACGACAGCACUGGAACACACUGUGCAUCACCAACCAGAAUAUGCAACACAGCAGAAACAUGACUGCUGCUAUAAACAAACACGACAGCACUGGAACACACUGUGCAUCACCAACCAGAAUAUGCAACACAGCAGAAACAUGAGUGCUGCUAUAAACAAACACGACAGCACUGCAACACACUGUGCAUCACCAACCAGAAUAUGCAACACAGCAGAAACAUGAGUGCUGCUAUAAACAAACACGACAGCACUGGAACACACUGUGCAUCACCAACCAGAAUAUGCAACACAGCAGAAACAUGACUGCUGCUAUAAACAAACACGACAGCACUGGAACACACUGUGCAUCACCAACCAGAAUAUGCAACACAGCAGAAACAUGACUGCUGCUAUAAACAAACACGACAGCACUGGAACACACUGUGCAUCACCAACCAGAAUAUGCAACACAGCAGAAACAUGAGUGCUGCUAUAAACAAACACGACAGCACUGGAACACACUGUGCAUCACCAACCAGAAUAUGCAACACAGCAGAAACAUGAGUGCUGCUAUAAACAAACACGACAGCACUGGAACACACUGUGCAUCACCAACCAGAAUAUGCAACACAGCAGAAACAUGACUGCUGCUAUAAACAAACACGACAGCACUGGAACACACUGUGCAUCACCAACCAGAAUAUGCAACACAGCAGAAACAUGAGUGCUGCUAUAAACAAACACGACAGCACUGCAACACACUGUGCAUCACCAACCAGAAUAUGCAACACAGCAGAAACAUGAGUGCUGCUAUAAACAAACACGACAGCACUGGAACACACUGUGCAUCACCAACCAGAAUAUGCAACACAGCAGAAACAUGACUGCUGCUAUAAACAAACACGACAGCACUGGAACACACUGUGCAUCACCAACCAGAAUAUGCAACACAGCAGAAACAUGAGUGCUGCUAUAAACAAACACGACAGCACUGGAACACACUGUGCAUCACCAACCAGAAUAUGCAACACAGCAGAAACAUGAGUGCUGCUAUAAACAAACACGACAGCACUGGAACACACUGUGCAUCACCAACCAGAAUAUGCAACACAGCAGAAACAUGAGUGCUGCUAUAAACAAACACGACAGCACUGGAACACACUGUGCAUCACCAACCAGAAUAUGCAACACAGCAGAAACAUGACUGCUGCUAUAAACAAACACGACAGCACUGGAACACACUGUGCAUCACCAACCAGAAUAUGCAACACAGUGGAAACAUGAGUGCUGCUAUAAACAAACACGACAGCACUGGAACACACUGUGCAUCACCAACCAGAAUAUGCAACACAGCAGAAACAUGAGUGCUGCUAUAAACAAACACGACAGCACUGGAACACACUGUGCAUCACCAACCAGAAUAUGCAACACAGCAGAAACAUGAGUGCUGCUAUAAACAAACACGACAGCACUGCAACACACUGUGCAUCACCAACCAGAAUAUGCAACACAGCAGAAACAUGAGUGCUGCUAUAAACAAACACGACAGCACUGGAACACACUGUGCAUCACCAACCAGAAUAUGCAACACAGCAGAAACAUGACUGCUGCUAUAAACAAACAUGACAGCACUGGAACACACUGUGCAUCACCAACCAGAAUAUGCAACACAGCAGAAACAUGAGUGCUGCUAUAAACAAACACGACAGCACUGCAACACACUGUGCAUCACCAACCAGAAUAUGCAACACAGCAGAAACAUGAGUGCUGCUAUAAACAAACACGACAGCACUGGAACACACUGUGCAUCACCAACCAGAAUAUGCAACACAGCAGAAACAUGACUGCUGCUAUAAACAAACACGACAGCACUGGAACACACUGUGCAUCACCAACCAGAAUAUGCAACACAGCAGAAACAUGAGUGCUGCUAUAAACAAACACGACAGCACUGCAACACACUGUGCAUCACCAACCAGAAUAUGCAACACAGCAGAAACAUGAGUGCUGCUAUAAACAAACACGACAGCACUGGAACACACUGUGCAUCACCAACCAGAAUAUGCAACACAGCAGAAACAUGACUGCUGCUAUAAACAAACACGACAGCACUGGAACACACUGUGCAUCACCAACCAGAAUAUGCAACACAGCAGAAACAUGAGUGCUGCUAUAAACAAACACGACAGCACUGGAACACACUGUGCAUCACCAACCAGAAUAUGCAACACAGCAGAAACAUGAGUGCUGCUAUAAACAAACACGACAGCACUGGAACACACUGUGCAUCACCAACCAGAAUAUGCAACACAGCAGAAACAUGAGUGCUGCUAUAAACAA